UACGAAGGGGCUAGCGUUGUUCGGAAUCACUGGGCGUAAAGCGCACGUAGGCGGAUGUGUCAGUCAGGGGUGAAAUCCCGGAGCUCAACUUCGGAACUGCCUUUGAUACAGCACGUCUUGAGUCCGAUAGAGGUGGGUGGAAUUCCUAGUGUAGGAGGUGAAAUUCGUAGAUAUUAGGAAGAACACCGGUGGCGAAGGCGGCCCACUGGAUCGGUACUGACGCUGAGGU
rnacentral:rRNA from 1 species